rnacentral:rRNA from 1 species
GUGUGUGAUGGCGUGCCUUUUGAAGAAUGAGCCUGCGAGUCAGCGGCAUGUCGCGAGGUUAACCCGCCUGUGGGGGAGCCGUAGCGAAAGCGAAUCCGAAGAGGGUGGCAAGUGGCAUGUCCUGGACCCGAAGCGGGGUGAUCUACCCAUGGCCAGUGUGAAGCAGCUGUAAGAGGUUGUGGAGGCGCGAACCCACUUAGGUUGAAAACUGAGGGGAUGAGCUGUGGGUAGGGGUGAAAGGCCAAUCAAACUCCGUGAUAGCUGGUUCUCCCCGAAAUGCAUUUAGGUGCAGCGUGAUGUGAGCUUGCCGGAGGUAGAGCUACUGGUUGGUUGAGCGGGACUAUCAUCUUAGCGACGUCAGCCAAACUCCGAAUACCGGUUUAUAGUGUUGCAUUGCAGUGAGACUGUGGGGGAUAAGCUUCAUAGUCGAGAGGGAAACAGCCCAGAUCGCCGGUUAAGGCCCCUAAGGGUGUGCUAAGUGGAAAAGGAUGUGGGAUCGCGAAGACAGCCAGGAGGUUGGCUUAGAAGCAGCCAUCCUUGAAAGAGUGCGUAAUAGCUCACUGGUCGAGUGGUUCCGCGCCGACAAUGUAGUGGGGCUCAAGCACACCGCCGAAGCCGCGGCAAACAUUUUUUGUUUGGGUAGGGGAGCGUCGUGUGUGGGGUGAAGCCGUACCGGAAGGAGCGGUGGACUGCAUGCGAGUGAGAAUGCAGGCAUGAGUAACGAAUGGCAAGUGAGAAUCUUGCCCGCCGGAUGACUAAGGGUUCCUGGGUCAAGUUCGUCUUCCCAGGGUGAGUCGGGUCCUAAGGCGAGGCCGACAGGCGUAGUCGAUGGUCAACGGGUUGAUAUUCCCGUACCCGUAUGCACGCGCCCAGUAUCGAAGCGGUGAUACUAACCACCCUGACCCGCCGACAAGUGUGAGGCGUGAUGCGUAAACCCGAAUGGGUGAAGUUGGUGAUCCUGGACUGCCGAGAAAAGCCUCUAGCGAUGUGUGUGUACGGCCCGUACCCAUAACCGACACAGGUGGUCAGGUAGAAAAUACUCAGGCGAGCGGGUGAACUGUGGUUAAGGAACUCGGCAAAAUGCCCCCGUAACUUCGGGAGAAGGGGGACCUCAACGCGUUGCCUUCCAUACGGUUGGUGUGCGUGUUGGGGUCGCAGAGAAGAGAGGGGAGCGACUGUUUAUCAAAAACACAGGUCCGUGCGAAGACGGUUAAGUUGAUGUAUACGGACUGACGCCUGCCCGGUGCUGGAAGGUUAAGAGGACCCGUUAGGACUUUUGUCCGAAGCGGAGAAUUUAAGCCCCAGUAAACGGCGGUGGUAACUAUAACCAUCCUAAGGUAGCGAAAUUCCUUGUCGGGUAAGUUCCGACCUGCACGAAUGGCGUAACGACUCCCCUGCUGUCUCAACCACAGGCCCGGUGAAAUUGCAGUACGAGUAAAGAUGCUCGUUUCGCGCGGCAGGACGAAAAGACCCCGGGACCUUCACUAUAGCUUGGUAUUGGCAUUCGGUGCGGUUUGUGUAGGAUAGGUGGGAGACUUGGAAGCAUGCACGCCAGUGUGUGUGGAGUCGUUGUUGAAAUACCACUCUGACCGUAGUGGAUAUCUAACCUUGGCCCAUGAUCUGGGUUGGGGACAGUGCCUGGUGGGUAGUUUAACUGGGGCGGUUGCCUCCCAAAAUGUAACGGAGGCGCCCAAAGGUUCCCUCAGCCUGGUUGGCAAUCAGGUGUUUAGAGUGUAAGUGCACAAGGGAGCUUGACUGCGAGACUUACAAGUCGAGCAGGGACGAAAGUCGGGACUAGUGAUCCGGCACCUACUUGUGGAUGUGGUGUCGCUCAACGGAUAAAAGGUACCCCGGGGAUAACAGGCUGAUCUUCCCCAAGAGUCCAUAUCGACGGGAUGGUUUGGCACCUCGAUGUCGGCUCGUCGCAUCCUGGGGCUGGAGUAGGUCCCAAGGGUUGGGCUGUUCGCCCAUUAAAGCGGCACGCGAGCUGGGUUCAGAACGUCGUGAGACAGUUCGGUCUCUAUCCGCCGCGCGCGUUGAAACUUGAAGAAGGCUGUCCCUAGUACGAGAGGACCGGGACGGACGUACCUCUAGUGUGCCAGUUGUUCCGCCAGGAGCACGGCUGGUUGGCUACGUACGGGAGGGAUAACCGCUGAAAGCAUCUAAGCGGGAAGCCUGUUUUAAGAUGAGGUUUCAUUUGAGGUUCCCAG